AUGGUGCGUUCACACAAUAUUCAUCAUCGACACUUGACAGAGGCAGAUCCCACCGCUAACCUCAGCAGCAAUAGUUGCAACCAAACAUGGGCUGAAUGCGAAAGGGACAGCCUGACAGCGCGCACAGUACCCCCACCGCGUGGCGGAAGAUCUCCGCAACUGCUACGACGACAUCUACUCCAACCUCCUCUCCAGCAGCAAGGGAUGCUCGCUCUGCCUGGUAGCUAUGGGUCCAAAGUGUGCAUAACUCUUGCUAACCUGGACGUACUGUCUUCUAGAAACAGGAUUGUUGGUGUUGAGCUGUUGAUCACUCUAUUGAAUGGAUUGCUGAAAGAGGGCACCGUUUGGAGUCGGUUGAAGACAACGGUGCAUAAAACACAUGGGCCUGCUCUUAAUCUCAGGACGCCAUGGGAGAAAGCGCGUGACCUUCUAGUAUUCUUGAAUACUAGAGAUGAUUCUUUAUUCACCAUGGAAGAUUUGUGCUAA
rnacentral:rRNA from 1 species